rnacentral:rRNA from 1 species
AUUGAACGCUGGCGGAAUGCUUUACACAUGCAAGUCGAACGGUAGAGGGGGCAACCCCUCGAGAGUGGCGAACGGGUGAGUAAUAUAUCGGAACGUGCCCAGUCGUGGGGGAUAACGUAGCGAAAGUUACGCUAAUACCGCAUACGAUCUAAGGAUGAAAGCGGGGGAUCGCAAGACCUCGCGCGAUUGGAGCGGCCGAUAUCAGAUUAGGUAGUUGGUGGGGUAAAGGCUCACCAAGCCAACGAUCUGUAGCUGGUCUGAGAGGACGACCGGCACAACGGGAACUGGGACCGGGUCCAGACUCCUACGGGAGGCAGCAGUGGGGAAUUUUGGACAAUGGACGCAAGUCUGAUCCAGCCAUUCCGCGUGCAGGAUGAAGGCCCUCGGGUUGUAAACUGCUUUUGUACGGAACGAAAAGGUCUCUCUUAAUACGGGGGGCUCAUGACGGUACCGUAAGAAUAAGCACCGGCUAACUACGUGCCAGCCGCCGCCGCCG